AGUCUAAGUACCAGCUCUCGUACAGUGAAACUGCGAAUGGCUCAUUAAAUCAGUUAUGGUUCAUUUGAUCGUACAGUUUACUUGGAUAACUGUGGUAAUUCUAGAGCUAAUACAUGCGAGAAGCGCCGACCUCGCGGGAGGCGUGCAUUUAUCAGACCAAAAACCGGCCGCGUCUUCGGGCGCGUUCGCCUUGGUGACUCUGGAUAACUUUGCGGAUCGCACGGUCUAGCACCGGCGACGGAUCAUUCAAGUGUCUGCCCUAUCAACUUUCGUCGGUACGGUAUUUGCCUACCGAGGUUCUUACGGGUGACGGGGAAUCAGGGUUCGAUUCCGGAGAGGGAGCCUGAGAAACGGCUACCACAUCCAAGGAAGGCAGCAGGCGCGCAAAUUACCCAUUCCCGACGCGGGGAGGUAGUGACGAAAAAUAACAAUGCAGGACUCGUUCGAGGCCCUGUAAUUGGAAUGAGUACACUUUAAAAGCUUUAACGAGUAUCCAUUGGAGGGCAAGUCUGGUGCCAGCAGCCGCGGUAAUUCCAGCUCCAAAAGUAUAUAUUUAAGUUGUUGCGGUUAAAAAGCUCGUAGUUGGAUUUUGGGCGCAGGCGGCCGGUCCGUCGCAAGGCGUGUACUGGACGUCCUGGCCUUCCCUCCGGUUCUCCGCCGGUGCUCUUGACUGAGUGUCGGCGGCGGCCGGAACGUUUACUUUGAAAAAAUUAGAGUGUUCAAAGCAGGCUCUCGAGCCUGGAUAAUGGUGCAUGGAAUAAUGGAAUAGGACCUCGGUUCUAUUUUGUUGGUUUUCGGAGCGCGAGGUAAUGAUUAAGAGGGACAGACGGGGGCAUUCGUACUGUGCCGUUAGAGGUGAAAUUCUUGGAUCGGCGCAAGACGAACGACUGCGAAAGCAUUUGCCAAGAAUGUUUUCUUUAAUCAAGAGCGAAAGUCAGAGGUUCGAAGACGAUCAGAUACCGUCCUAGUUCUGACUAUAAACGAUGCCAACUAGCGAUCGGGGGGCGUUACAUUGACGACCCCUCCGGCAGCUUACGGGAAACCAAAGUCUUUGGGUUCCGGGGGAAGUAUGGUUGCAAAGCUGAAACUUAAAGGAAUUGACGGAAGGGCACCACCAGGAGUGGAGCCUGCGGCUUAAUUUGACUCAACACGGGAAAUCUCACCCGGCCCGGACACAGUGAGGAUUGACAGAUUGAGAGCUCUUUCUUGAUUCUGUGGGUGGUGGUGCAUGGCCGUUCUUAGUUGGUGGAGCGAUUUGUCUGGUUAAUUCCGAUAACGAACGAGACUC
rnacentral:rRNA from 1 species